rnacentral:tRNA from 1 species
GCCGACGUAGCUCAGUCGGUAGAGCAACGCACUCGUAACGCGUAGGUCACCAGUUCGAUCCCGGUCGUCGGCACCA